GUGGGCUAGGUCGCUGUGUCUGUGUGCCGUGUCGUGUGCAUUCCGUGAGGACACUGUGCGAGCAUGUUUUGUGUGGACCGGGUUCGCGCUGUUUGUAGGCACUAGAAAAACACCCCAACUCCCCAAUGACAGCAAAGCAGAUUCUGGAGGUCAUUCAGAAAGAAGGCUUAAAAGAGACAAGGUUAGUAGCCAUUUUCAAGUCGUCUUUUUGUGUGCUGGCAUUAGUAACCUCCCCUAGUGGAGCCAGAAGCAUUUCUAUAGUUAACACUAUAGUUGAUGGUGAACUAACUACCCCCAAAUUCUCUGAUGCUUGCAAAACACUGUGUGACCUAAGUUUUCUCCUGAGCUGCUGUUAACAUAAUGCAUCACCUUUUGGUGGACUGAUAAGGGAUGGUCGUUUGUAACAAAGAAAGCCAUUGUGGUUUAGCCCCACAGCAGAGUUACUCCUCUUUCCCUCAAGAGGAGAUAAUGUUUCUGAAAUUAAGUAAUAGAAGAGAAACACUUUUACAGGCUUAAUAGAUCCUGGGAUAUAAAGAUGAGCAGACUCUGAUAAAAUUCAAAGGGCCAAUAAAAUGUGGCUGAAAAUUUAGUCCUCUUAUAUUGAAGGCUUCUACCCUGAGUGACUUUAUCAGAUAGUGAGCCUUUCUAUUUAUUUUUAAAUGGUGGCUUUAUUAAGAUAGAAGUCACAUAUAAUAAAAUUUGCCCUUUGGUGGCUUGUAUCUGCAGUCAUCCUCACUACUGUAAAACAUUCCCAUCAUCCUAAAAUGAUGCCUUGCACUUACCAGUCUCCACCUGCCCCUCCCCCACUGCUUUAGCCACUGAUAUUAAAUGUCUCUAUCAAUUUGCUAUUCUGGCAUUUUUCUGUAGAUAGAACUCAUGUAAGUAAAUAUAGCCUUCUAGCUUCCCCUUCAGUGUUAUGAUUUCAGUAAUGAUGGUUAUUGUAAAAUAUACUAAGAAUUCAUUCCUUUUUGUUGUCAAAUAAUUUUCUGUUGUAUAAACAUACAACAGUUUGUUUACAAUGAUGACCAUUUAUAGUUAUGUAUUAAUUUUACAGCUUUGUCCAGCUGUUGGGGACCUUACAAAUGGCAUCCCUCAAAAAAAAAAAAAAACAACAAAGGAUAUUUGUCAUAUGACGUAGUAGUCAUGUUGAUGUAUAUGUCUGUCGUCAGCCAUCUUAUAUCAGAUAGACAUCUAGGCGAGUCAGCCAUCUGAAAGCUAUGGAACUAACAACAUUAUAGUCACAAAGAUCAUAAGUUGAUGGGAAUUAAAUCUACUGAGAUACCUUUUAGUGCUCUGAUGUUAAGAUAGACAGGCAGAGAGGACUGAGUAUUCCUGAGUUCAGCUUUUCUUCCACAUGGGUUUCACCUAUGAUGCCUAUUAAUUCUGAAGUAUAAGUAUUAUUAGUCUGCAGCUGAAUGAAUGGCAUCUUUUUCACGUUAGCUCUAUAGACAUCACAAGUCAGUGGGAUACAGGAUACCAGUGCUCAAUUUUUCAUUUUACUUUGAUGGAUUUUUUUCUGGCCUCCAUGAAGAAGUAGAAUGAGAUGAUAUAAGUACACUGUGUUGCCAGUCUGUUUCCACAGUGGUGGCAACCAUGGGAGUCCAUUUGCUCACAGUGCCCGGAAGCCCCUCAGUAGGAAAUCUGAGCUUAUGCUGGAUUUCAGCAUGAGAAAUUAGAGACUAUGAGGAGGAAAAUUGACAGUUUUCUCUUUGCCAACCUGUCAAUAAUCCUAAAACUACUUCUGUUACCAAGAAAACAUUGAAAAUGUUCAUGCCACAGUCAAAGGGAAUGGAGGGAGUCACCAUCUAAACAUUUUAAAUGCAUGAGCCUUGUUCCAGGGAAAUCUGCUAAAACAGUUAAGAAUUGUACUCCUAAAAGGAGGUGUUUGAAACUCAUUCACUAAGAUAUAUAUAUAUAUCAGGGCUGGGGAGAGGGCUCCAUGGGUAAAGUGCUUAUGACACAAUCAUGAUGAAUGGAGUUUGUAUUCUCAAGAAACAUAUACAAGCCCGGCAUGGUGGUAUGUGCCUGUCAUCCCUGUGCCAGGGAAAUUGAAACAGGAGGAUCCUUCAAAUUCACUGGCCAUAGAGCCUAGCUUAUUCCUCUUGUUAGAGAGAGCCGAUUUAAAAAUAUAAAGUAGAGAAUAGCAGAAGAAACUCAAAAUUGACCUUUGGAUUCCAUGUGCAUGUUCACUCAUACAUGCAUUCAUUCAUGAGCAUGUACACGUGUGUACACCACACAGACACACACACAUAUUCUCUCACACACACAUUCACAUACACACAUUCUCUCUCUCUCUCUCUCUCUCUCUCUCUCUCUCUCUCUCUCACACACACACACACACACACACACACACACACACACGCACACACGCACACAGAUAUUCUUAUCCAAAGGCAUGACUGCCACUGUUAUUUUGAGCUUGCUGUACAUGGUUACUGCAGUGUGGGUCUCAACAGUAUUUUAAUUGCCAUUAUGAUCAUAAUACUAACAUGUCAUGUUUUCAAAAUGCUCAUUUUUGCAGUUGUGCUCAAACAUAUUCCUACAUUUAUGCAGUUAGCAAAACCAGUCAAAACUGUAAAGCAAAAUUGUCUUUAAAGAGUAAUUAAGAACUCUGACAUGGAACACACAACUUCCAAUGUCCCUAAAUUCAUCUUCCCUUAGUGCAUCGUUAGUGUAUCCUUUUGUGUGAAAAUUAUUGUGUUAUAAGUCCUAAUAGGCUGGUCCUAUUAUUAAAAGGACUCUGGCAGGCAGCUCCCAGGUGGGCUAGGAAGGGAAGGCGAGGAGGGAGACUGCCAUGGUUGAUCAUCUAUAAAUCCAGCUCUGCUUUGAAUGGCUUCAGACCUGCAUUUUAUGUUUCCAUUUAUUCUGUUUCUUUCCAUCUCUGCUUUUCUGUCAAUUGUGUUCUGUUACUGACUGCCCACGUGUUUCUGUACAGUGUUCCCUUGAUUUCUAGUUUUAGUUUGCCUGCUAGAAUAACCUGUAAAACAAUAACUAUGUAGACACUUUGUGUGUGUUCUGUUAGGGAGCAGGUCCUGACAUUUAUUUUAUCUGCUUAAUGAACCAUUUUGCUACUUUUGAAGUUCUUAGAUGUUUCUAAAUAUUUGAAGUAGCUGAAUAAAUGAAGUGUAGCUGUAUGUAUUUUUCUUAGGUAAAGUUUACAAAUUCCAUCAUCAGAAGGUCAACCUUGGGUGAUGACUUCUUGUUAUUUAUUAAUGAUGUGUUUUCCAUGAAACACAAACAGGUUGCAUAUGCCUGAUAGAGUCCAGGGAGGUGGUGCUGGGGUUUCUGAUGUGUCUGUAGUGCCCCAAGGGUUACAGGAAUGUUAACGUCCCUGCACUGCCCACCACUGUCCCACACAUUUUCAAGGAAGUGUCUGCAGGGUCUCUCCCACAUCCUAAGCACUUAGUUAAGAACAUUCACAUAAAGCUCUCUGGGGUCUUUCCUUGUCUCUGAGGAGGCUCACCUCUGCGAUUGGUCUAGCUGUUCUGCAGUUUUGCAUUGGGGUUUUCAUUGGGCCUCCUGAGCUGAUUAAGGGCAAAGAAAGAACCCAGCUCUCCUGGCACUCGGAAGAUACUCAAUAAAUAGUUGUUGAGUAAAUAGUCUUCUCCCCCAAGAUGUUCCCUCGCUGGCUGCCAGUGACGACUUUGGCUUGCAGUCAGCACGCGAGCUUCUUGCAAAGCAGCAUGCUGUGGUUUAGUCCUAUUCAAUAUUGUUUUGAAAUCAAAAAGAGGGUGCCUAGUCUGCAGCAACCAUUCAAUACGUGUGCAUCCUGAGAGACUGCAGACGAUUACCUGUGAACAAGGGAAGGAAGCAGGGCUCUGUGGCUUCCUCUUAGAUAUCGUAAGGACCACUGGUUUAAGGAAACCGGAAAAGGGAGAUAACAGUUGAAAUGUGAACAAAUAAAAUAUCC
rnacentral:lncRNA from 1 species